rnacentral:rRNA from 1 species
GAUGAACGCUGGCGGCGUGCCUAACACAUGCAAGUCGAGCGAAGCGCCUUACUUGAUUUCUUCGGGAUGAAAGUAUUGUGACUGAGCGGCGGACGGGUGAGUAACGCGUGGAUAACCUGCCUCAUACAGGGGGAUAACAGUUAGAAAUGACUGCUAAUACCGCAUAAGACCACAGCACCGCAUGGUGCAGGGGUAAAAACUCCGGUGGUAUGAGAUGGAUCCGCGUCUGAUUAGCUAGUUGGUGAGGUAACGGCUCACCAAGGCGACGAUCAGUAGCCGACCUGAGAGGGUGAUCGGCCACAUUGGGACUGAGACACGGCCCAA